AGCGAACGCUGGCGGCGUACUUAACACAUGCAAGUCGAACGGGGAUCGUCGGGUUAGCAAUAAUUCGGCGGUCCUAGUGGCGUACGGGUGAGUAACACGUGGGCAACUUGCCCUUGAGACCGGGAUACCCUCUCGAAAGGGAGGCUAAUACUGGAUACGUUCUUCGGAUCGCAAGAUCUGGAGAGGAAAGUGGCGCAAGCUACCGCUCUUGGAGAGGCUCGCGGCCUAUCAGCAGUUGGUGAGGUAAUGGCUCACCAAGGCUAUGACGGGUAGCUGGUCUGAGAGGACGACCAGCCACACGGGAACUGAGACACGGUCCCGACUCCUACGGGAGGCAGCAGUGGGGAAUUUUCCGACAAUGGGCGAAAGCCUGACGGAGUGACGCCGCGUGGGGGACGAAGGCCU
rnacentral:rRNA from 1 species